rnacentral:rRNA from 1 species
CCUACGGGCGGCUGCAGUGGGGAAUAUUGGACAAUGGGCGAAAGCCUGAUCCAGCAAUACCGCGUGUGUGAAGAAGGCCUGAGGGUUGUAAAGCACUUUCAAUAGGAAGGAAUACCUACCGGCCAAUACCCGGUAGACUGACAUUACCUAUACAAGAAGCACCGGCUAACUCCGUGCCAGCAGCCGCGGUAAUACGGAGGGUGCAAGCGUUAAUCGGAAUUACUGGGCGUAAAGCGUGCGUAGGCGGUUGUUUAAGUCAGAUGUGAAAGCCCUGGGCUUAACCUGGGAACUGCAUUUGAUACUGGGCAACUAGAGUUUAGUAGAGGGGAGUGGAAUUUCAGGUGUAGCGGUGAAAUGCGUAGAGAUCUGAAGGAACACCAGUGGCGAAGGCGGCUCCCUGGACUAAAACUGACGCUGAGGUACGAAAGCGUGGGUAGCAAACAGGCUUAGAUACCCCUGUAGUC